GCCGGGCGCGGUGGCGCACGCCUGUAGUCCCAGCUACUCGGGAGGCUGAGACAGGAGGAUCGAUUGAGUCCAGGAGUUCUGGGCUGUAGUGCGCUAUGCCGAUCGGGUGUCCGCACUAAGUUCGGCAUCAAUAUGGUGACCUCCCGGGAGCGGGGGACCACCAGGUUGCCUAAGGAGGGGUGAACCGGCCCAGGUCGGAAACGGAGCAGGUCAAAACUCCCGUGCUGAUCAGUAGUGGGAUCGCGCCUGUGAAUAGCCACUGCACUCCAGCCUGGGCAACAUAGCGAGACCCGUCUCUU
ensembl:misc_RNA Metazoa_SRP Metazoan signal recognition particle RNA